ACACGCACGCGCUGGCCGCCAAACGCUUGCAAGCGUGAUUGGCGCAAGAACGUCGCAUCUUUUUGCCUGUUAGCGAGAGGGGAGGAGGCACGCAAAGCAGCGCUGUUUUCAUUGGGUCGAAUGUGCGUGCACGUUGUCCAUGCGCGUCGCGGAGACAGGGGGAGAGAGAGAGCAUGCAGGUGUGCGUGCGUGUGUGUUGACGCAUUGGUGGGCACACGCUCGCGAGUUCUCCCUUACUUUCUUUUCUCGUCUGCCGCUCCCCUCUCCCCACCCGCGGCGUGAAUUUUGCGAGCACCGUCGCUGCGUUUUUACGUCCCUUUCGAUGUUGCUGUACAUGUUGCCGUCGCUGACUUGCAAGAGAAGUGGCUGAACGCGUGUCACGGACCACGGGGCAUGCGUGUGUGUUUGUGUGUGUGUGUGAAUGUGGAACGCUCGCGAGAGCACAAAGGCGUGCAGUGGUGGCGCUGCGUGGAGGCCACUGAGCUGUGCUUUUUGCUGUAGCGCAAGGCGACGAGGGUGGACAUCUCCUUCUCUCCCGCUUGCUCUCCUCCUUAAUUGUGUGUAUCGUACACGGACACUCACAUACGCUUCUCCCUUGCUCUUUCCUCGUUUACGGGGGUGAUGUCUUCCCUGCGGCGGCUCGCUUCACUUCCGAGAGAACUGGCAAAGGCGUGCUGGCCUUUCUUCACCCCAGCCACCUCUCCACC
rnacentral:misc_RNA from 1 species